GAUGAAGAACGUAGCGAAAUGCGAUAAGUAAUGUGAAUUGCAGAAUUCAGUGAAUCAUCGAAUCUUUGAACGCACAUUGCGCCCGCCAGUAUUCUGGCGGGCAUGCCUGUUCGAGCGUCAUUUCAACCAUCAAGCCCCCGGCUUGUGUUGGGGACCUGCGGCUGCCGCAGGCCCUGAAAACCAGUGGCGGGCUCGCUAGUCACUCCGAGCGUAGUAAUAGAUCUCGCUCAGGGCGUGCUGCGGGUUCCGGCCGUUAAAAAAGCCUUAUUUACCCAAGGUUGACCUCGGAUCAGGUAGGAAGACCCGCUGAACUUAAGCAUAUCAAUAAGCGGAGGA
rnacentral:misc_RNA from 1 species